CAGUCACAUUUUUUGUUUUGAUUUCAUCAUGUGGGCCUUAUCACCUGGAUCAAGUGCAAAAAUUGGUCACUGCACACUCCUCCUGUGAACCUCAGCUGCGAUCUUGAAAAAUAUCUGUCAUAAAGAGCUAGAAAAUGUGAUUGUGGGACAAUUUUGCAUAGAGUCACUCUAAUAAGUGUGUAUAGAGCGACUCUGCUGGCUAAAAAUUAUGAAAGAAGCUUCAAGUGACGCGCAUCGGAAACACUGGAGAGCCUUGAAAACCAUUUAUAUAUACAUUUAAAGACAUGUAAACUGCUCUUAAAGUAUUAAGUUCAUACUUGCCUUAUUACAAAAAUGAAUUUCACAAAGCAAGACUGUGGAAUACCUAAGGAAUCCAUCGUUUGGUUAAAGUAUGCAUUCAAAAAAAAGGUAUGCUGUAUGUAUAAAUGGUUCUAUUGACCGUUCACUCUUUUUUUUUUUUUUUUCCCUGAAUGCUUAUAACUUUUUGUGAUAUCUGAAAUGUACAAUGUUACAAAUAAUUUGUUAAUUGUCAUGUACUUUCCAUGCAACCGUUGGCUAAACCAGGAAACGACGAGGACUUAAGAAGGAACAUUUUUAUUUUCUUAAAAAAUAAACCAAUAAAAUAUAUUUAUUAUAUAAAGAUGAAUAUUUAUUAUAGAUAUAUAAGAAAAAAAAAUCAAAAAAAAAUCAGAGCUUUAAUUUAAAGCUUGAAACUAAUGGUGUUGCAGAAAAUAAAUAAAUGCAUGUCUACACUCCAAACAGAAUUUUUCAAUUUUUUGUAUUUUUUUUUUAAAUAAUAGCAACUUUUUGCUUGGCUUAAACAAGUGAAUGCACUACCGAUAGUCACAUGAUGUAUCAUUAGCUAGAUCAUAUCGGAUAUACCACGGGCAGUCAGUUUGAGCUUUCUUUAUUUUACUUUUUGCUAAGAAUGGUACAGGAGGGGUUGGUGGUCAGUUUUAUAUAGGUUCAAUAUGGUUGGGUGUUACCAAUCUAUAAGUAUUUAUUUUCUGGCAAGAGGAAAAUGUGAAAGUUUAAGUUUUCUUUGAAAUUAAAUGGGUAGCCCAGAAGUGGAUUUUUUAAAUCAGAACGAGCACCCUACUUGCCCAUAGCAUGUAACUGGUAUUAGACCUCAGGUCCAUUCAUUUGAGUGGAGAUGAGUUGUGCUCUUUCGGGCCCUUUUUUCUAUUCCUGGACAACAACUAGCGCAAUCAACUAAAUGAGCACGUGAAGAAAUGAGAGUCCCACCUUCCUAACUUUAUAGAAAUGGAGCACAGGAAGGAAGUAAGGAUAAAUAAUUCCAUAUCAUAGAUCAUAUAUUAGAAUUUACUAGCACAGUACAAAGCUUUUACAAGAACAGACUUGAAAUUUCCUCUAAAUAUUCCGUAUGCAUUUCUAAUGCUUAUUGGACAUUGCAGACAAAUGUGUAAGAACAUUUGGCGCGGAGAGUCUGAAAUACAAAGUUAGAGGUGUUGAGUUCAGUACUUCCUACAGUCUAUAGAAGAUGUCAGAACAAUUCUGCCUUUGUUUUGCCGUAAACAAUCUCAUUUGCAUAUUCCACAUUUCCCGUUUGUGACUCCAAUCUCAUCUUCACAAUUAGUCAUGGAAGUCUGGCUAAUAUGUACCUGCAAAAUGAUGUAGUGCCUCACAUAGGAAAACCAGUGCACACAGUAGGCACUUCUUUCAUGCCAUGUGCAUUAAAUAGCUGUUUGCUGCUCCUGGGUUUGGCCAACAGCUAUCAUUCCUGACACCCCUCCCAUCCCCUAAUGAAAUUAAGUAUGCUAUAAAGUAUGCUCUUAUGUCAAUAGGGAGAGGGAACAAACUGCUUUUGGACACUUCCGGCGGUGGCUUAAAAAGCACGAUUAACCACAUUAAACCAUAUUGCCUGGUAGAGUUCGUUAUGCUUAUUAAAAUGAUACCCUGCUUAUGCUUCUAGGUAGCAGAACUGACAUUUUCAUUAUUCUGCUAAAUAGCUAUUUUGAGCAUCAAGGGGCUGGCCAGAAGUAUUGGAGCACUGCUAUCCUAACACCCAUCUCCUCGGUGCACACCUUCCUUCCCUCUGUGCUCUCUGCCUUCCACUGGGAUUGACGUGGUUAGACAUCUCAUUUAGGCCUGUAUUAUUGCUUCUGCGCCAAGUAACUGGGCGGUUGAGCACUGUAUCUGAUGCCGCUUCCCAAGCUCUAGCCCUGUCAAAGUGGGUAGUGGGAGUGCAUAGAGGGGAGUGAAGAGUGCACAGAGGAGAUCAAAGUUAGGAUAACAGUGCUCCAAGUCUUCUGGACAGUCCCUUGUUGCUCAGAAGAUAAUGCUUAUAUCUCAGGAUUGCUGCUACCUAGAAACAUACUGUAAGUAAAGUAUUGUUUUAUUCAGCAGUAUCAACCCUAUCAAGCAAUAUGCCAGGCUUAAUAUGGUUGAUCAUGCUGACACAUGCUCCUUAACUCCUAGAAGAACAAAUGAUCCAGGGCGCUGUGAUGGAUCCUUUUACCCAUACACAUUAGAUAGUCGUCGGAUCCAAAAAUGGCAAAAAUUGGCAGGUCCAGCCACCUAUAAUCUAGUAUCUAUUCCCAGCUUUAUCUAAUACAAUGACAGCUAUCAUCUGUUUGUUUGCAUUGGACAACACCUCCCAAAAAUAGUGUUAAGGUGCCAUACACAUUAGAUGAAUGUAAGCCGAACCUGAUGAUUUUGUCAGGACCGGCCUACUAUCUAAUGUGUUUGGCGGUGACCCAGUAUAAGGGCCAGAUAUGUUGUAUUUCAACAUGUCCAAAUCUAUGUUCUUAAGGGAGAUAAGUGAU